ACUGCUGUAGUUGCUGUUGUUGAGAAAUCGUUUCAGCUAGGAUUUAGGGUUUAGUGCAGCGGCCGUGGUGAACCCGGCCGUCCUUUGACUGCAGAGUCGAAAUUUUGCACUACUCUCUUCCGAUCAGUCACUGUGUCGCACUUGUGUUUCGAUCUUUCUGUUGUUAGUAGUGCUUUUCUUCUAUUCUGAGAUUGUAAGCAUAGAAAGUAGUCAUGGCGGACGCAUCCUCAGGUGAACAUGAGCCGGAGUUGCCGCCUCACUUGGAGCUUCAGCGCACUAGAGUUGUGUGUGCCCCCGACGCACCUUCUUAUACAGAAUCUGUGCAGUAUUCCGGGGCAUAUAUGGCAUAUGGCGUGGACAACAGCUUACGGAUUGAGGAUUUCUGCAAGAACCUGCGAGUGGAAAUCAUUUCCAUGAAUGAGGAGGAUAUUGAGUUUGAUAUAGUCGGGAUUGAUGCCGCCAUUGCCAAUGCAUUCCGGAGAAUUCUUAUUGCUGAGGUCCCUACGAUGGCAAUUGAGAAGGUUUACAUUGCAAAUAACACAUCCGUUAUUCAAGACGAGGUUCUUGCUCAUCGUCUUGGGUUGCUACCAAUCAAGGCGGACCCACGGCUUUUCGAUUACAAGAGUGAAGAGGAGAAUGCUAAUGAGAAAAACACAAUAGUCUUUAAGAUUGAUGUUGUGUGCACUCGAAAAGGGGAGCGAGUUCUCAAUAGUUCAGUGACGUCGGAUCAGAUGAAAUGGUUGCCUGAAGGUAGUGAAAUGCCCUUCAAUACCAUGACAAAAUUUACCUCAUUUGGGUCUAGUCAAAAAAACUUGCCUGGAUUACCUGCGGAAGGCAUUUCUUGUCAGUACCCUGAUAUUAUCGUGGCCAAACUCAGGCCAGGCCAGGCCAUAGAGCUUGAAGGGCAUGCAAUAAAAGGUUCUGGCAAUAUUCAUGCAAAGUGGUCGCCUGUUGCUACUGCCCGAUACAGGAUGCUUCCAGAGGUAAACCUAAUGGAAGACAUUCAAGGAAAGCUUGCUGAAGAACUUGUUCAGAAAUGUCCUACUGGAGUUUUCGACAUUGAAGAUGUUGGUACAGACUCUGUUAAUUGUCUUUUGCAGUCAAGAAGGCCAUUGUGGCAAGACCAAGGAACUGCACGCUGUGUCGCGAGUGUGUAAGGGGAACUGAUUGGGAUAAGCGAGUGCAACUUACUCGAGUUAAAGACCAUUUUAUAUUUACUAUUGAAUCCACUGGAGCACUACGACCUGAGGUUCUUUUCACAGAGGCUAUCAAAAUCCUCAAUGAAAAAUGUCACAGGAUUAUUACAGAACUUUCAUAGAACUUUUACUGUAGCCUAUAGGUCUCAUCUUUUGGAUCUUAUCCUCAGGCUUCAGUCUGGAAAUCCUGGAGAGUAACGACAGCGCAGUCAAUGCAUUUGAGAUGUGGAUUUUGCCAGACACCAUGUACGCUUGAAUUUGGGAAGACAGGUGAAUUGUUCAUAGUAAGACCUCUAAACAAGAACUGGAGAUCUACAUUCAAGUGAACUUGAGACAUCUGAUAUUUCUGUUGUAAUCUCUACCUCACUAGGAAGGUUACGAAAGCACCAUUGAGUUGGAGCCAACAAUAGAUGUAGACAUAGAAUGCUUUACUUCUCAACCAUAUGCAAGGUUUGUUGAAGAAUCCGGCUAUAGUCUUUGUUUGUUGCUGGUAUGAUUUUUGACCUGUCAUUGAGUGAAUUCAUUUAUCAUCUAAAUGAACAUCCUGUUGCUAUC